GAUAUAGUGAGUUGCUGUUGGAGCAUGAAAACUGAAUAAGGCACUUCAUGUUGAAUUUGGGUCACUUCAUUUCCUCAGUUCUCAAGGUCCAAGAAGCUGAAUAAACCCUUGGAAAAGGUCUGCAAGAUUUCCAACUCUGCCAGCUGAGAAAUGAUUGUCAGUCUCAACCUUAUCCUGUGAAACUCUUCCUUUGGCAUCUUGAUCAGCUCAACAAUUGUGUGGUACAAUUUGUCAACACAGCCUCUUUAAUCAUGUGGGAGUGUUUGCUCAGUCGCUCAGGCAUGUCCAACUCUGCGACCCUAUGGCCUGUAGCCUACUAGCCUUCU